UUCAUAAUUAUUUUUUUAGCUGGAAAAUUACUUCGAACUUUUUUCAACAGAAUUAUGGAAUAUUUGAAUAUAUAAGAAAGAAGAUUUAUUUAUUUUUUGGACAUGAAUUGAAAUAAUGGAGGAAAAAUAGAUUGAAGGACGUAUUUUUUUAUUCAUAAGAAAUAUCGAUAUAAUUUGUAACUCGUGUCACGAUCAAUGAAGAUGUGACAUAAUAACGGAAUGAUCAGAAUCAAACGUAUUCACAUCUUUUUAUUUGUUCUCACUACUUCUGGAAUUUUAUGACAUUGCUUUCGGAUAGAUAUGAACAGGUGUAAACGUUUGAAGUGCAUUAGAGCAUUUAGAAAUCCAUUAAACUAAUAUGUCAUGAAAAAAGAUUUAAAUUCAAAUUCAAUUAGCAAACACGAAGGUAACAUCGUUUCUGUUUAUUUAUAAAUUUUCUUUACGUUGAAUCAUGUUCAAAAUCGUUGUAUAAAAUUGCAACGACAUUGGAAAUAUCGGUGUUAAAUAUUUCAGAGAUUACAUUACUCUCGCAGAGAACGAGGGAAACGGAAGAAAGGAAGCAGAUUAUCGACACGAUAUUUACCAGUUGGCAAAUGAAAGAAUAAGCAUUCUAUUUUUAAUGUGAAGCCACUGUUGGUAGACAGAUUUUGUGGGAUCUAUGGCACGCGUCCGAUGUUCAUUAACCGCCAUUGGACCGAGAAAGAAAGAAAGGGAAGGGAAAAGAACGUGUGUCAUUUAGUAUGCGGCAUCUUUUAACCAUCUCAUAGAUGGGGAAACGGAAAAAGCGCAAAAAUGUUAGACGCGAUUCAUCGAGACACGCGUCACUUUUGCUUCAGAGAUGAGUGAAAUUUCCUCGAACUUGAUGUCACAGACACAUUUUAAGAGGCGAAAUCAUGGAAAUUAUAGGAACGAUAAAUAUACAUUUAAAAAAAAAAAUAAUGAAUUUUUUUUAUGAAAUGAUAAAAAAAGUGUAAGGACAAAUUAAAAUUUUUAAAUUAAUUCCCCUUAGAUAGAAAGUUAUUACACAUAUUUUUUCCUAUGGAAUUCCAUUAAAAAUAAACGUUAUAUUUCUAUGAGAUCAUAUAUUUACGACCCUCUGUAGUAUUUUAUUAAUACCAAGUCGUUAUUAAUAAAAUGACAUAUUUAUUUUAGUCACAUAUUAUCGAUUAUAACAUCCCCACGAUUAUUUAAUAAUAUCACCUACAAACAAUAUUUCUCAAAAGAGUUUUAUUACCUUUUUUUUCUUGCUACUAAUUGAACAAUGAACUACGUAAUGAAGGAUGAAACGUUGUACCUUUAUCGAAAUGGAUUUUUAUUCGAUUUCCAGGGGGUUUUAAAGGGGAGGGGAAAAAUGAAAAGCGAGGUUUUUCCUCGCAAGUAUAGGGAGAGCGAUGUCGUUGGUGCAAACAGAGACUAUGCAGUGAGAGACUAUGCAAGCAACGGACUUUUUGGUCGGCGAUUGAAUGAAUGCCACGCGAGUUAGUCAGCGUCGCGGUGCUAAAUUCGGCGGACGCCUGGCGUCGCUCCAGAAGAACCACCCAGCGCACCAACCUGCUUCUAUCCUGCAAGCCACCAAUGAAACUGCGAGAUUCGACGCCGUUUUCUUAUUUGCUUGCCACCUUCUUUCGUCCCGCAUCGAUGUUUCACGAUGCCUCUCUUAUGUUCCUCACGAAAAUACGAUGCCGAGAGUGUUAAGCUCCGUUUAUCGACGCUCAUAAAUCUUUUGCACCAACGGAAUAACCAUUCCGAUUUGAGUAUUAUAGUUUAAUGUUUCUUAUUUGAGAAAAUUAUCGAUGAACAUUAACAAAUGUAAUGAUUCGAAGAACAGGUGUCUCGGGAACGCUAUUGCAAUCGCGGUACUAUCGACGUUGGACCUAAAAAUAAAGUCACGAGUGUCGAGCAGCAUCUCGAUUGACGCAACUAUGAAACUUGCCAACCUUUUCCCAGCGAUGGAUUGUCAGUAUCCUAGGCUUCUGUGUGUGUGUCAUCGGAUACGCGUAAACAGUAAUUUACUUCUACAUUAAUAAACCGACGGAUAGAUGGGACGCAUCCUACAGGUGCCUGAACGCGGUUUCGAUGGAACGUGUCGCGUAAAACGUAUGUAUUUUCGGCGUACUUGGAGAAGCUCCAGGUGCGGAGGAGGAAGUACGUGUAAACCGAGGGAAACAGAGAGGCUGGAUGGAGAGUGGCGAGACCACGUGCGUUGCCAUUUUUCGCAAAAAUUAAGCUUUAAAUCGUAAAUAAUCUAACGUUUCAUCAUAUUUUUCUCAGUUUCUUCUUCAAUAAUUUCUCAAUGGUCCUCUUUUUCGUCUUGUCGAAGAAGAGGAAAAUCUUCCUUGGAAAUUCGAGAAAGGAAAGAUUUUUUUUUUUUCUUCCUCGAUAAGGAAGACAGAAGAGUCAUUAAUCCUAUUUCGUAGAAUUAUUUUGUAAAAAAAAAAAAAAGAAAAAAAAAGUAAAUGUAUCGAAAAUUAUCCGGAAACGCUUGGUACCUCUUAUAAAUCAGGAUCGGUGCACUCCCUCUUUCCACGAUCAUGCCGUUUAGCGAGAAGUUUUCUGGCGGGGAAAAAAGGGAAAAGCACGCGAUUGCUAUUUAAAAGGCUCGUAGGUGGGUGGCUUUUUAGCCGAGGUAUAUACCGACGUAGGGAGAGGGCUUCGACUUCGCUCUUCGGCCUCGGUAUGGGGUUGCCGUGCUAUUUUCAGGCCGGUGGCUCGAUGCAGCUGUCGUGUUCUUCGGGUAAACCACCUCUCUUCUAUUCCAUGGUCACUCGCGGGACAAGGUAGAAUGUACAGAUUGGAAUUCUAAAUUCACGAUUCGCAAAUUCGUAAAGGAUGACGCACUUUCGCCAACACUCACCGAAAUUAGACGAUCGUAAUAAAAGAAACAUUAGGAUCAUUAUUAGAAUUUCGAAGCCUUUCACCUAUUCUUGAAAUCUAUUUCUUUUUUAUCUAUUCUUCUUUUCUAUAAUCAUCUUUAUUCAUUCGUUGUUUUUCUCUUUUCGAUAUUUCUGAUAUUUUCCAUUCUUUAUAUAAGUAACUUCUCUCUUGCAGGUUCUAGAAUGCGCAUUUUAAGUAUUAAUCAUAAUCUCUUUUAAUUUUUGUCGAAGAAGAAUUUUCUUCAAAUAACAAACGAAUGUAUUAUAUUUUUGUAGGGAAUAAAAAAAAAAGAAGAAAACGAUAAGAAAGAUAGAAUAGUAGAACUAUUUAAGUGAUUGCCUCCAGCAAAGCUACGAAAAGAAGAAGUGCGUGCUGGAGAAUGGAAGACAUGGAUGAAGAAGAUGACAAGAUUCGAAGAUCUUGGCAACGAGCCAGAAGAGAUUUUCAGUCGUCUACGUAUUUCCAACUUUCAUCUUCUAGCCGUCCUCUAGAACCUAGGGUGCAAUGACACCAGGUUUUAGAUGACAAUUUUCUAUUUACAGCACAAUAGAGAAAAUACAGAAAAAAAAAAAGAAAAAAAAGGAAAGAAAAAAGUAUUAGAAGAUUAAAAAAUAUCGACCGGAACGACCCUUAAUUUAGUUUCGGGUGCAAGAGGUUAACAGAGAGUGGGGGAUGUCAGUGGAAGUGCUUCUACGAAGGGAGAACACCGUCGUACGAAGCACGUUGGUUCAUGUUUGGAGGAAUGUCUUUGGGUAUAAAGGAGACAGUUCCUUCCGGAGACAGCGAACAGCCGCCUGUUUUACCCUUCUUGUCCCUCCCAUUUGUUCCCUUUCUGUAUAUCGUAUUUUUUUGCGAUUCAUCAUAUUCUUUACCACUUGUUUUUCUGUUAAUAUUAAAUAAUAAGAAGAUACUUUUAUUCAGAAUUUUUUUUUUUAAACAAAAACUUGUUUAUCUUGUUAUAAAUUUCAUUAAUAAAAAUCAUUAGAUUGCUAUUAUAAAAAUUCUUUCAAAUAUACAUUAUUUUGUAUCUUAUUAUUAUAAAUACAUGGAAGAAAUUAAGUGGUAAUUUAAUAAUUAGGAUUAUUAUCUAAAGAUUACAAUGCAUUUACAGUAAAAUUUCUACGGGAAUAAGCAAGUGUUGUAAUUCGGAGAUUAAUUGCACAUCGAUCAAAUUGUAGAACUAACCGGUUCGCAGGUGGCAAACAAGCAUGCAAAUCUAAAAAAGGGUUACGCACACGAGCACGUGCUCGCAUUUUGCAAAACCUUUUCAAAGCGAUCAGCUGGCUGUGCUCUUUCUUCCUUCCACCUCCCCGCUCUUAUCUUUUCCUACGGCAAGAAAAAAGAAUUAAAAUGGAUAAAAAUGAACGUGCACCCCCCUUCGUCCGCACCCGCAUCCUGUGCCAGUAUAGUGCUGCUUUCGUAAAAACCGGCCCGUCGGUUUUCAUUCAAAAUGUGCGAGUCACGAGGGCUCAUUCACAAAUUUCACGACGAAAUUCUACACUCAGCCGGACCGUCUGCGAUCUUGAUCGAGACAACAGAGACGAACGCAUAAGAGCGAAAAAAAAUCGGCGGUUCAUAAUGACGUACACGCUGCAUUUAAAUUGUUGUAACCGUAGUUUCUUCCAUUGGCUCGCGUACAGACCACGUGCCACACGUGAUCCUCCCUAGUUGAUUCCCUUUCUUCUAUUGCCAUCGUCCAGACAUCUUUAAAGAGGAGAUGAAAAAAAUUAAGGGGACGGAAGAAGAGGAAGUGGACUAGACGAUGAGGGAGCUGAGAUCGUAGCAUUAAACAGUACGCUGGUGGAUUCAUGGAAUUUCGUGAAACCCCGUUGCGUUUUUUAAAUAGAAAGAAGAAAGAUGAAAAAAGGAAAGAAAAAAUAUGUACCUGUGUUAUAACCUGUGUUCAUAUUGUAAUGAGAUUAUUGAUAUGUUGAUAUUUUUAAAAGCCUAGUGAUUACCCACACAAAUAUUCGUUCAUGGAAAAGCUGUAGGAGGGGUUAAAGGACAGGAGGGUCGCAGACACCGAGUCACCAGCGGCAACGGGCACGCGACCGACACGCGCCCUUCUUCCGUCUCUUUUCUUCCCAUCUUCCCCUUUUUCUACGCUUCUUUUUCCACAGCAGCUUCCCUUUGCCCGCACAUGUAUUCAUCUCUUAUACGUGAUCAUCUUGAGUUUACGUGCGCGUAUGGGAUGAAAGACUGGUGGUCUGCCACAUGAUUUAAGAUAGCAUAAUUUAGAAAUUAGUCAAGAAAUGUUAAUUAUUUCUGAUGUAUAAGAUAAUCAUAAAUAUAAUCACAAGAGGUCCAUUGAAGAAUCCAGGCACAAGAAGAUUGUACAUGAAUGCACGUACAACGACUUUAUCUUGACUACAACCUUAUCUUUAAGUAGUUUGAUACCGAUGAAUGUCUACUACGGGGUAACAUUAGAAAUCGCUUACUGAAAGAGCUUUGCUUUAAUGAAAUAAUAAAGAUCGUUUAAGGAAAUUUAAUCGAGCUAUAUUGAAUUUGUUUAAGAAUUAUAUUAUAUGUCAAUUCCGAAAAAAUAAUUAAGGUCGAUGAAGACGAAAAUGCAAUCUGUCGUCGCAACGAGGGAAAUCGGACAUCUCUAAGUAUAGCUCGUAUUUGCAUGCAGAUCAGGGACGGAUCGUAUUAGGUUGCCAAGCUAUUACAACGUUCAAUCUAUAAAGUUUGUAAUACUAAAAUUUUUAAUCUAUUUUUUUUCAUCUUAUUAUAACAUUUUUAUAAAUACUAGAAUAUCUUUGUUAUCAUGUUACAAUCUUUUCAUCAAUCUAAAAGCGUAAACAUAAAUAUUAUAUUUUGAAUAUUUUAUUAUGUUACAUAUAUAAGAAAAUUCAUUCAUGAUGUUUUAACAAUCGUUUAUAUGAACCAUUUCGACAACGAUUACGAACUUGGCAAUGUUUGGAAAGAAGUACCAUUACAUAUGUUACACAACUAAAUUCCUUCUUUGAACUUAGGGAUAUUAAUUUCAAAAUUUCUCAUUGAGAAAUAUUUUUUGCCAUAAUUAGAAAAUAUGUUACAUAGAUUUGUUAUGAGAAUGAGAUUCCUGUAUAAAAAUGAUCGUUUAUCGUCAUCGUACGAUGAUCGAAUGGAAUUUGCCAAUGAGGAAAAUGAGAAAGCUGUGCCAAGAACGUUUAAUGACACCUUUAUAUAAGACACUUCUUAAUGCUAGUAAAAUGUUGGUGAUACCUUUUGUUUGUAAACAUACAAUAAUUUGUAAUAAAAAGGAAAAAUCAUACAUUGUAAAGGAACAAGAUGAACAAAAAUUAAUUGAUAAAAGUGACAAAUAUUUUUGUCAUAUUAAUAAAAUAAAAAAAAAAUAAUAUAAAAUAAUGGUGUCAAAUAAUUAUAAUAAAAGAAGAUGAAUUAUAUGUAUAUAUACUUAAUAAUAUUUUAAAUCAGCUUGAAUUCAUAAAAUUGAAACUUUGACUAUUUUGCAAACUUCUGGCCGAUCACCAAUGAUUAACCAUUUAUAAUUACGAGGAUGCCAUAUCUUGGCACGUGACACGGCAUUUAUAGAUCGCGACUCAAUUUAAUCGUCGUCGUUUCGAUUAUUUUUCUAACUACCUGUCAUCAGAAGUGUGGAUCCGUGGAUCCAGUCGAUGCCAAUGAUCGAAAAAUAGAUCCAAGCGCAACCUGUUUGAAAUAGCUGGCGUGAAACCUGUAACGACUGCUGCGUGUGUGCCGUUAAUAUCAGUACGUUGAACGAUACUAGAUCGGUAUUAGAAUACCGACAAUUCAAAAGAUGAUAUUAAAUGACUAUUAUCUUUAACGAAUAUAUUUUAGAUUUUUUUAAAAUCUUUCAGGUUUUUUUAAACUAGCUUCUAUCAAUAAUUUUUUGCUGAAGAUUCUUCAGCUAUCAAAAAAGAAGGAAUUGAAUCGUGUCAAUUGGAAAACUUUCGACGGCGUUUCUAACCAGGUGAUAAACUGUGAUUCGCGGGGCAAAUGGAGAUUAUAUUCGAAGGUGUCUAAGCUAAAGGGAAGGAAAUCUAAUUAUAGAAGUCGUUGUACCGCGUGCUGAAAGUGGUGGAGGGUGUGAGUACGGGUGCACGAAUGAGAAUCGGUUGCAUUGGGCGGCCAUAAAAUGCAGGCUGCAUCCGCUUGGCGCAGAUGUACUUGGAACGGAGCUCCAGUACCACGACAAAACCAAAAGGAUCGUUUCGAGAUUCUAUACCCUAACUGAUAUCGAGGACAAUGAACUUGAAGUGUACGCGAUAGAAACAGAUUCCACGGAUUCUUAUUCGACUGAGGAUCGAUCGAAGGGAAGGAAUAUUAGAUAGUUCGUUACUCUAAACUAAAAAUCUAUCUUGAUCGCUUCCAGAUAUCUGGAAACUUUCGCUUCUACAUUCCUCCAUUAAUGCAGAAGGAUGUCAAAAUGUUUACCUGAUUUUUCGUUGUUGAAUAUGAGAGAUCAAAAGCUGCAAAUAUUUAGAAAAAAAGGGAAGAUGAAACUAACCAUUUAUAUUAUGGAUACAAUAUACUUGUAAUACAUAGUUUCAUCAGAAGAACAUCAACAACUUGGGUGGUUCUCUUAUCACAAGUAGCACAACUUCAUUAUGGGUAUACUAUUCAUUCAUGAACGAGAGAAGCCAUGUGGUUCAUUAAUCAAAAAAUACUUCCUGUUUCCAUGAUAAAAAAAAAUUGGAUGUCAUUGCAAAGACUGCUCUUUUAUGAAAUAUUAUAAAGCAACGAAAGCAACAAGUUUAUUUCCUCUUUUUUUUUAAAUAACUAUAUAAUAUAUAAAAUAUAUAAAAGUAUAUGAAUUUAUUGGUCUGGAGCCAAUGAAAGCAGAUUCCAAUAACGAAAAGUAAUGUUACCUGUCAUUAUAAUUUGUAACCAAAUGAAAAUCAAACUACCUGUGUCACAGUUUUAUACCGAUUAACUGUGACUUACGGGUGACACGUUUAUCGUCAAUCUUACCCGUACGAAUGAUUGGUCAUUUGAGUGCACCAGCUGUGAUAUUUCGCGCACGAUCGGCUCGUGCCGUUUGGACCGUGAUUAUUAUU
rnacentral:lncRNA from 1 species